ensembl:lincRNA
GGAAUUUGUUCUGUGGAACCCUGCAGCAAUAUUUCCCUUCAUUUCCAUGACAACAGCUCUCUAUCAACUUCUGAAGGAACUUGCCUGUAUUGUAAACAAACCUCUCUUGGCAAUUGGCCUGUUUUCUCUCUCUAUCUCAUCUUCCAUCUGCUCAAAGGCUUUGCUUCAAAAAGAAAUAGGUUGCAGGUGUACCACUGACCUGUCAGUACUUCCCAACUGCCUACCCGGCCUCCUUCAUUUUGUUUCACUUGAAUUUCUACUAAUGUCAGCUACAUUUGUAGUUGAUUAAGGUCAAACAGCAGUCUUUGCCCUGACACACCA